AACGAACGCUGGCGGCAUGCCUAACACAUGUAAGUCGAACGAGACCUUCGGGUCUAGUGGCGCACGGGUGCGUAACGCGUGGGAACCUGCCCUUAGGUUCGGAAUAACUCCCCGAAAGGGGUGCUAAUACCGGAUAAUGUCUUCGGACCAAAGAAUUAUCGCAUUUGGAUGGGCCCGCGUUGGAUUAGCUAGUUGGUAGGGUAAAAGCCUACCAAGGCGACGAUCCAUAGCUGGUCUGAGAGGAUGAUCAGCCACACUGGGACUGAGACACGGCCCAGGCUCCUACGGGAAGCAGCAGUGGGGAAUAUUAGACAAUGGGCUAAAGCCUGAUCCAGCAAUGCCGCGUGAGUGAUGAAGGUCUGAGGGUUGUAAAUUGAUGUUACGGGGGAAUUUAAUAGCAGUACCAGGAGAAUCAGCAGGGGCUAAGUCCGUG
rnacentral:rRNA from 1 species